AGGAGGAGGAAGCCAUGAAUCUGCUGCUCUGGCUUCUCUAUCAGCACCUCCAGAGAGAGCAGGAGAGCACGCAGGAUGUCUAUGAAGGAGUUCCUACAGAGGGAGGGCGGAGUGAAGAGGAGCGAGGAACAGCGGGAGAGUUUUAGAAGCGAACAGGAUCAGGAUUUUUCUUCCAUGUUGGUCCGGAGUCUCUAGAACACCUGGAAAACCAUCAAUCAACGCUCUCUUGAUCCCUGGAUCAUCAACCUGUCACACACAAAACACACCAACAUCCAUGGAAACACUGCACCAGGAGGAACCUGGAGGUACUGUACCUCUGGAACAUGUCGAGGUUCUGCUGCCUGAACUGGAAGUACUGAGCCAGCAGCCUGAACGUCUCCACCUGGUCAAAUUUCCUCGCCCUCAGGAAGCGCAGGAUAAAGUCGUCGUCUGUUCGCAGGAAACCGAUGUCAGGC